UGGGGAAUAUUGCACAAUGGGGGAAACCCUGAUGCAGCAACGCCGCGUGAAGGAUGAAGGUUUUCGGAUUGUAAACUUCUUUUGUACGGGACGAAACAAAUGACGGUACCGUAAGAAUAAGCCACGGCUAACUACGUGCCAGCAGCCGCGGUAAUACGUAGGUGGCGAGCGUUAUCCGGAUUUACUGGGUGUAAAGGGCGAGUAGGCGGUUGUGUAAGUCAGAUGUGAAAUACCGGGGCUCAACUCCGGGGCUGCAUUUGAAACUACACAACUUGAGUGAUGGAGAGGCAAGUGGAAUUCCCGGUGUAGCGGUGGAAUGCGUAGAUAUCGGGAGGAACACCAGUGGCGAAGGCGACUUGCUGGACAUUAACUGACGCUGAGGAGCGAAAGCGUGGGGAGCAAACA
rnacentral:rRNA from 1 species